GUAGCUAGGAUUAUAAGCAUGAGCUGCCUGAUCUCGUCUGAUCUCGGAAGCUAAGCAGGGUCGGGCCUUGUUAGUACUUGGAUGGGAGGCAUGAACCAUGGGCAUCCAGCUACU
rnacentral:rRNA from 1 species